rnacentral:rRNA from 1 species
CUCAGAAUCAACGCUGGCGGCGUGCCUAACACAUGCAAGUCGAACGCGGUUUCCCCGCAAGGGGAAACUGAGUAGCGAACGGGUGAGUAACACGUGGGUGACCUACCUUCGAGUGGGGGAUAACGUCCCGAAAGGGACGCUAAUACCGCAUAACAUCCUGUCCUUGAACGGAUGGAGAUCAAAGCCGGGGAUCGUAAGACCUGGCGCUUGAUGAGGGGCCCGCGUCCGAUUAGCUAGUUGGUGAGGUAAUGGCUCACCAAGGCAACGAUCGGUAGCCGGCCUGAGAGGGCGGACGGCCACACUGGGACUGAGACACGGCCCAGACUCCUACGGGAGGCAGCAGUGGGGAAUUGUUCGCAAUGGGCGCAAGCCUGACGACGCAACGCCGCGUGGAGGAUGAAGGUCUUCGGAUUGUAAACUCCUGUUGCCAGGGACGAAUGGCCACGACCUAACACGUCGUGGUGUGACGGUACCUGGUGAGGAAGCCCCGGCUAACUCUGUGCUAGCAGCCGCGGUAAUAC